CAACCCUCAAGCUCUGCUUGGUGUUGGGCCCCGCCGCCCCGGCGGGCCCUAAAGUCAGUGGCGGUGCCGUCCGGCUCCGAGCGUAGUAAUUUUUCUCGCUUUGGAGGCCCGGGCGCGUGCUUGCCAUCAACCCCCAAUUUUUUUAA
rnacentral:misc_RNA from 1 species